UGCAGAAUCCCGUGAACCAUCGAGUCUUUGAAUGCAAGUUGCGCACGAGGCCAUUAGGUCGAGUGCACGUCUGUUUGGGCGUCAUGUAUAGCGUCAUUCCAAAUUCCCACGUGGGACGAGUCCAUUUUGGGUGAUGAUGGAUAUGGAGAAUGACCUUCCGUGCUUUAAUUGUGCGGUAGGUUUAAGUGAUUGUCGUUGCCAGGUAUAUGCGAGGCGAAUGGUGUGUCGAGUUAACGCACGAUGUCUCUAAUCGCGUCCGUGAGACCUAGGCAUGACUUAGCAAUAACUGAAACCGAUUUCGAUGUUUGCUUUCGUAGCAAGCUCGGACCAUGACCUCAGAUCAGACGGGGCGACCCGCUGAGUUUAAGCAUAUCAAUAAGCGGAGGAGAAGAAACUUACGAAGAUUCCCUUAGUAACGGCGAGCGAAUCGGGAAAAGCCCAGCUUGAAAAUUAGGUGGCUUUGUCGCCUAA
rnacentral:rRNA from 1 species